rnacentral:lncRNA from 1 species
GUAUCAGAAUCGAAGGGUAGGGAUUAUGAUAAAAUUCUUAUUCCAGCAAAGCUAUGUGCACCUAAGGCAGAAACAAUGUGGAAUACAGAUACUCAGAGCAAUAACAAAAUUUCUGCAGUGGGCUUGAAUUUCCCCGGAUAAAAAUAGGUUCUUUUUUAUUACAUCAUCAGGCUGCAAAUUUUCCAAACUCUUAUGCUCAUCUUCCUCUUGAAUGCUUUGCUGCUUAUAUAUUUCUUCUGCCAGAUACUCUAAAUCAUCUCUCUCAAGCUCAAAGUGGAUAGCUUAAGAUGUUUUUCAGGCUCCUAAUUCCAGCAACCAGUUUGGAGUCCUCCACAGAGGAAAGGGAUCAACACAAUAACAUAGCUUCUUUGGAUUGGCAGUAUCUUCCCGUCUCGUCCAUCAGUAACCCUGUGAUUAAAACUCCUCUGCUGCAACCUGGUGACAUGCUGGGUGCAUAGGGCAAUAAAUCUAUUAUGGUUACAAUCAAAAGUAAAAUUUUCUUAAAUAACAGCAUGAAAAUUAUUUCUGUAUAGCAGUGGUUCUCAUCUAGGGCUCCCCACACCACUGUCCUUCAGGAGACAUUUGGCAAUGCCUUUUCUGGUUGUCUCAGCUAGAGAGGGAUAGUGCUCCUGGCAUAUAGUGGGUAGAGGUCAGGGAGGCUGCUAAACUUCCUACAAUGUAUGGGACAGCUCCCCACAACAAAGAAUUACUCAGUCCAAAAUGUUUAUAGUGCUGAAGUUAAGAAAACCUAAUAUAUUACAGUAAAUUUUGUGACAGUUGCUAAUUAGUACUAUUCAACUUUUCCUCCACACUGAGAUGUCUAAUAUGGUACUGAUCCUAGAUU